GUUCCUGUUGCUCAAUUGGUAGAGCAUGGUACUUGCAAUGCCAAGGUCUUGGGUUUGAUUCCCAAGGAAAACA